CUGACUUUGCAUUUUUAUAUACUGUUUUCAAGAGAAGCAUAUAACUGAGUGAAGUUAUAGUUUGGUUAAAUGUUAAAGAUGAACUAUUACAGAAGAAUAAGCUGAAAUUCUGUUUUGUCAUCAAAAGUUUUACAAGAGUCAUUUCUAGAGAACCUCAGCUAGCUACAAGAAAAAUGCAACAUUCCCAUGAUAGCAACUAGCAGAGUGAUGAUGGAGAAACUGCAACUUGAGCAAACAUAGCCUGCGAAGUUGGCCAAGGGAUGCACCGCAAAAUGACCCAUGAAACGCAACUUGCAGAGGAAUUUAUGUUGCCUACUAGCACACUGGAAAAGACUGUAAUUGUGUCCGUCCUUUGCUCCACCGUCAUUUGUAGUCCCAAUUCCUGCAGUGAACAGUAACAGCUGAAAGCUGAUGACAGAGCAAAAAUCUGGCAAUAGCUAUGGCUGGCUUUUCCUCCAUUGUGUUAGCAACACUCGAUAACCAACUGGCACAAGUGAGGCCCUAUUCUGAGAAAGUCAGUCUACUAUCAGAACAAAAUCACCUUUCCAG